GUCGAUGAACGAAUGACCUUAGUAUCUGUUAUUGUAUGUUCAGUUCAGUUCAGUUUUUAAGUUUUGUUAGUUGCAACGUUUGAGUUUUUUUUUAAGUUAUGAAAAUUUGAUCAAGUUCUUGAUCAAAUUUUCAUAAAAAUGGUUGGGGUGAUGUAACGUUUUGCGUUUUUUAGUUUAAUUUAAUGGAAUAAAAUAAAUAAAUAGAAUACAAUUUAUUUCAAUUUGUGUUGUAUUAAUGUUAACGAUAAAGAAAUAUUUUAUUUGUUCGUAAAAUUGGUCCAUGCCUGUUACUUAUGCUCAUGUAUGUCGAAGCGUUUGUAAAAGCUUACGUGAUUUGAACUUUUAUAGCAUAAUGCUAAUGGCGCGUAUCUACUUUCUGGCGAAUUACAGUCAUACUGCAAAUUUGUCGCCAUGCAUGAAAAUCGCCAUGCAGAAAAUGUUGGCGCGAUUUUUAAUAAUAGUCAUCUAAUUCAAUAGUGGGACUUUUGAAAAGCGGCACAGUUUCUUAGCGCAACGAUUGCUUCAAAUCGAUCAUUUCGCUACAAGAUCGGCUGGAAGACAGAAGUGCGCGAAUUUAAUUCGAAGUAUCUACCAAGUUUGAUUUUAGUUUGAGUUGAGUUUAAGUCAGUUUAAUUGAAGUGAAGUUUGAAGUCUAGUUGAGUUUUUGGUGAAAGUUAUUCUCCAAUUUCUAAGAGGACCGAGGUCCGCAAAUUCGCGAUUUCUGCAAUUGAUUUAUUUCUCGAAGGAAUUGAACUACGAAAAAAGGUAAUUUUUUGAUAAUUAAAUUAAAAGUGCUUAAGAUUAACAUGAAUUCCUGUUGGACGUGUAGCGCCUAGCGCUUUUUUCGUACGGCUGGUUUUUUCGUCGUCGUUCGGCGGUAUCCUUCGCCGAAUCGGGGUUUCGUAGGCGGAUUGGACCGCCAGUUUCGUCCGUGAGUCAUCGUUUCCGACCCGUGUGCCCAGCAAAGGCCCGCCUUUCAGAAGGCAGUCAAACGGAGGCGCGAGUGAAGUCGCUCAAUCAUCUUCGUAGCGAAGUAUUCCCGUCGGCCGCCAAUCACCGACGGUAAGGCCCUCUUACGUCAUACCCCGUGGGCCGGAAUCAACGAGAGCCGGUUCGUAGCAGCGUGUCGCCAAUUGCACGUCACGAACCCGGUCCGUAUCUAGGAAGAUAGAGGUUGCGGCAUUCCCCGCUCGGUCAUAGCUGGAAGCAUAGUACGCGAAGCCGGGUCGCUGGGCUCUGUUUGCGCCUUUAUUGACCGGAGAAAGACCAUCCCGGGAAUCGCUCGGCAUCCGCCGAAGCUCUCUCGUUCGUCCAACAAUCGGAAGCUUCCGUCCAGCCGCCACUCCCUCCGCACCGGUAGUUCGGCCAUACCGCACACGGGUCCCUUUGUCGACGCUGCGCGCCAAAUCGCAGCACGGACUCGUCGGCAGCCGCCAUUCUGCUGUCGCCAUUGCCGAACAUCGAGGUAGUCACCAUCGUCGAGUCGUCGAGCUACGCCAACCCGUCAUCGAGCA